rnacentral:guide_RNA from 1 species
CAACAUCCAAAUAGAAUUGUAUAAGUGAGAUAUGAUGUAUACUAUAUU